rnacentral:rRNA from 1 species
UACGUAGGGGGCAAGCGUUGUCCGGAAUUAUUGGGCGUAAAGGGCGCGUAGGCGGCUUGAUGUGUCAAAGGUGAAAUCCCUCGGCUCAACUGAGGAACUGCCUUUGAAACUGUCUGGCUUGAGGCCGGGAGAGGGUAGCGGAAUUCCCAGUGUAGCGGUGAAAUGCGUAGAUACUGGGAGGAACACCGGUGGCGAAGGCGGCUACCUGGACCGGUUCUGACGCUGAUGAGCGAAAGCUAGGGGAGCAAACGGG